rnacentral:rRNA from 1 species
AGCGAACGCUGGCGGCAGGCUUAACACAUGCAAGUCGAGCGGGCACUUUCGGGUGUCAGCGGCGGACGGGUGAGUAACGCGUGGGAACGUGCCCUCUGGUUCGGAAUAACUCAAGGAAACUUGAGCUAAUACCGGAUACGCCCUUUUGGGGAAAGGCUUGCUGCCGGAGGAUCGGCCCGCGUCUGAUUAGCUAGUUGGUGAGGUAACGGCUCACCAAGGCGACGAUCAGUAGCUGGUCUGAGAGGAUGAUCAGCCACACUGGGACUGAGACACGGCCCAGACUCCUACGGGAGGCAGCAGUGGGGAAUAUUGGACAAUGGGCGCAAGCCUGAUCCAGCCAUGCCGCGUGAGUGAUGAAGGCCUUAGGGUUGUAAAGCUCUUUUAUCCGGGACGAUAAUGACGGUACCGGAGGAAUAAGCCCCGGCUAACUUCGUG